UCCGAUUUGUCACCGGCAGUCUCGCUAGAGUGCCCAUCAUUACAUGCUGGCAACUAACAAUAAGGGUUGCGCUCGUUGCGGGACUUAACCCAACAUCUCACGACACGAGCUGACGACAACCAUGCACCACCUGUUAUCUUGCCCCGAAGGGCUAUCCUAUCUCUAGGAUAUUCAAGACAAUGUCAAGCCCUGGUAAGGUUCUUCGCGUUGCUUCGAAUUAAACCACAUACUCCACUGCUUGUGCGGGCCCCCGUCAAUUCCUUUGAGUUUCAACCUUGCGGCCGUACUCCCCAGGUGGGAUACUUAUUGUGUUAACUCCGGCACAGAAGGGGUCGAUACCUCCUACACCUAGUAUCCAUCGUUUACAGCGUGGACUAC
rnacentral:misc_RNA from 1 species